rnacentral:rRNA from 1 species
UACGUGGGUGGCAAGCGUUGUUCGGAAUUAUUGGGCGUAAAGGGCGCGUAGGCGGCCACCGCACGUCGACUGUGACAUCUCCGGGCUUAACCCGGAAAGGUCAGCCGAUACUGCGGGGCUAGAGUGCAGAAGGGGCAACUGGAAUUCUCGGUGUAGCGGUGAAAUGCGUAGAUAUCGAGAGGAACACCUGCGGCGAAGGCGGGUUGCUGGGCUGACACUGACGCUGAGGCGCGAAAGCUAGGGGAGCGAACGGG